rnacentral:rRNA from 1 species
UACAGAGGGUGCGAGCGUUAACCGGAAUUACUGGGCGUAAAGCGCGCGUAGGUGGCGACGUAAGUCGGGUGUGAAAGCCCCGGGCUCAACCUGGGAAUUGCAUUCGAGACUGCAUUGCUGGAGUACGGAAGAGGAGGGCGGAAUUCCCGGUGUAGCGGUGAAAUGCGUAGAUAUCGGGAGGAACAUCAGUGGCGAAGGCGGCCCUCUGGUCCAGUACUGACACUCAAGUGCGAAAGCGUGGGGAGCAAACAGG